rnacentral:tRNA from 1 species
GGAGAGAUGGCUGAGUUGGUCGAAGGCGCUCGCCUGGAAAGCGAGUAACGGUGUUAAGCCGUUCGAGGGUUCGAAUCCCUCUCUCUCCGCCA